AUGCCUGCAUUCUUCCUCUUUCCUCGAAUGAUGAGAAAGUUCCCAGCCCCAGUUCUACCUGAGCGCCCCAGUCGGACCACAGACACAACUCGAGCAUCUCGGCUCGACAGAAACCAAUCGGUAAACUACCCGGGUGCCAACCGGCGCGGCUGGAGCAGCACCGAGACCCUGAGGAUGCGGAACACCUGCAAGGGGCCGGGCCGGCGGCCCUCGUCCCCGCCGCGCUCCCCAUCUCCUCUCUGGCAGAGACGCGCAGAUUCCACCACUAGAGAGUUUGGCAGCUUCACAAUGGGGCCCGCCUCCUCGAGGUCUGACCGCCGCCCGCCCGGGAAGCCCUUCCCUCCGCUUCCCGCCGGGCCCAAAGGCGACAGGUGGGGCGAGGGCAGCGAUGCCCAGCGCCGUCUGCCGCGUGCACCCCCCGCCGUCCCGGCUCCCGGGCGGCCUCGCCACCUCGCGCCCCCUCAGACCGCCGAACGGGCCAGGCGGGCAGGCGAGAUAAGGCCGCCCCGGCUCGCCCCGAGGCGCUAUCUGGCCCGGGCAGUCGCACCCGGCGCGCGGCCCGGGCGAGCGGCCAGAGGUGCGGCAGGCCCGGGAAGGGCGCCGCUUCUCCCCGGGCCCGCACGGCGGCGGCGCCCACCGCCCCUCGCACCUCCCCGCGGGCGCACGCCGCGCGCACCCGGACGCACGCCGCCGCCGCGCCCUCCUCACACGCGCGGCGCCCUCGCCGCGGCGCCGACCCCACCCCGGGGCCCAGGAACGGCGAGCUCCCGGCACCCCGCCGGGGCCCCGCGCCCCGCACAGCAGCCCCCAGGCCCCUGCCCCGGGGCGCCGGGGAGCGGGGAGGGGACCCGACCGCCGAGGACAGGGCGGCGCCCACCGCGGAGGCCGCCCGACCCCGCGCUCCUCGGCGCCCGGCCCCGGGCACGAGGCGGAAGGAAGGGGGCGGCGCCGCCGCCGGGCGCUGAGGAGCCAGGGCUGAGGCAGCCUCCCCCGCCGUCACCCACCCGUCCCCACCGCUCCCUUUGCCGCAGCACAAAAGGCUGCAGGAGGAGGCGCCGGCCCCGCGCAACCUACCAGCGGCCCCAGCUCCGCGGUCUCCGUCGUGCCCCGGGCCGCGGAGACCGAGAGGCGGGCGGCACAGGCGCGGGCUGCGGCGCUGAGGCGGCCGGUUCGAGCCUGCCGGUGCCCUCUCCGCGCUCCCGGCGCGCUCGGCGCCAGCUGCCGCCCGGCGCAGUCCCCGCCUCCUCCCCGCCGCCGCCGCCGCCUUCCCGCCCUCCUCCCUCAGGCCGCAGAGGCGCAGCCCCGUCAGCGCCGAGCCCGCCUCCCGCGCCCGGCUCACACGCCCUGAGGAAGGGCGGACCCGGGCGAGAAAGGCGCUGA
rnacentral:lncRNA from 1 species